UACGUAGGCAGCGAGCGUUGUCCGGAUUUAUUGGGCGUAAAGAGCGUGUAGGCGGCCAGGUAGGUCUGCUGUGAAAACUCGAGGCUCAACCUCGAGACGUCGGCGGAAACCAUCUGGCUAGAGUCCGGAAGAGGAGAGUGGAAUUCCUGGUGUAGCGGUGAAAUGCGCAGAUAUCAGGAAGAACACCCGUGGCGAAGGCGGCUCUCUGGGACGGUACCGACGCCGAGACGCGAAAGCGUGGGGAGCGAACAGG
rnacentral:rRNA from 1 species